rnacentral:misc_RNA from 1 species
AAGUCGUAACAAGGUUUCCGUAGGUGAACCUGCGGAAGGAUCAUUAACAAAUCUUUCUAUAUAAACCCGUUGCAUUGGCCGUGAAUGCUGCUAGCAAGUCAAAGACUUGGCUUGGACUAUAGUUCAAACUAGCAGUUGAAGCGGAGUAAGGCUUGUAGACUAUGGAUUUUUCCAUGAAGCUAUGGCUUUAAGGAAGACUUUGAAGUUGACUCGUGAAGCUGUGGGCUUUAGAGAAGGCUUUGAAGAUAAUGAAUCUGUAUGUUGAAGAGCCUUUAUAUAAACGUCUAUUUGUUGUCUAAGUGUUCGUAAUCAUAAUAAAUACAACUAUUAACAGUGGAUCUCUUGGCUCCCA